UACAGAGGGUGCGAGCGUUAAUCGGAAUUACUGGGCGUAAAGCGCUCGCAGGUGGUUCGAUGCGUCGUGCGUGAAAGACCCCGGCUCAACUGGGGAGUGUCGUGCGAUACGGUCGGACUGGAGGCCAGUAGGGGGAUGCGGAAUUCCGGGUGUAGUGGUGGAAUGCGUAGAGAUCCGGAGGAACACCAGCGGCGAAGGCGGCAUCCUGGACUGGUCCUGACACUCAUGAGCGAAAGCGUGGGGAGCGAUCCGG
rnacentral:rRNA from 1 species